UACGAAGGGGGCUAGCGUUGUUCGGAAUUACUGGGCGUAAAGCGCGCGUAGGCGGCUUUGCAAGCCAGAGGUGAAAUGCCUGAGCUCAACUUAGGAAUUGCCUUUGGGACUGUGAGGCUUCGAGGACGGAAGAGGUGAGUGGAAUUCCCAGUGUAGAGGUGAAAUUCGUAGAUAUUGGGAAGAACACCAGUGGCGAAGGCGGCUCACUGGUCCGUUUCUGACGCUAAAGCGCGAAAGCGUGGGGAUCAAACAGG
rnacentral:rRNA from 1 species